CCUACGGGGAGCAGCAGUGAGGAAUAUUGGUCAAUGGGCGGAAGCCUGAACCAGCCAAGUCGCGUGAGGGAUUAAGGCCCUGCGGGUCGUAAACCUCUUUUGCCGGGGAGCAGAGGUCCGGACGUGUCCGGGCCGGGAGAGUACCCGGAGAAAAAGCAUCGGCUAACUCCGUGCCAGCAGCCGCGGUAAUACGGAGGAUGCGAGCGUUAUCCGGAUUUAUUGGGGUUAAAGGGUGCGUAGGCGGGCAUUUAAGCCGGCGGUCAAAUGUCGGGGCUCAACCCCGGCCUGCCGUCGGAACUGGGUGCCUUGAGUGGGCGAGAGGUAUGCGGAAUGUGUGGUGUAGCGGUGAAAUGCAUAGAGAUCACGCAGAACCCCGAUUGCGAAGGCAGCAUACCGGCGCCCUACUGACGCUGAGGCACGAAAGUGCGGGUAUCGAACAGGAUUAGAUACCCGGGUAGUC
rnacentral:rRNA from 1 species